UCCCAGGACCUGUCUCCUCCUCUCUUUGCAGCGCUAUGCUCUGUCGCGAGGCUGGCGGUGGCGGGUGGGUCGAUGAACAGAGAGGAAAGAUACGGUGCCGUCGAUCCGUCCUGCCUGUGGAUUCACUGGAUGCGUCUUGGUGGAGUGAGCGCUCGUGAGAUUCGAUCUGGUUGCUCUGUCUUUCAAGGUGGAUUCGUUGUCAGUAGGUUGGGACGGAUUGAUCGCUGUUGGAUUUGUUAACUUGCAGGUGGGCUAAACCUCUCGUCCUCUGGCGACGAACAUCGCCUCCCGCUAGGGUAUGCGGGCGACAGUCGUUACUCAGCGCCAGCAGGUCGCUGCCCCGUCCUCCAAUUGACAAUGGUAGCAUGCUUAUGCCUUGGGGCAUGGUGUCGCGGGUAGAGUGUGUGCUGCCAUGGCUGAACGAAGCAGCAGUCGGCCGUGCACACUGUCUGACUACUAUUGAUGUUGGUCUUUCAUGUAGGCUUGCCUUCAAAUAUCACGGCUAGGUAUGUAUGGAUCGUGCAACCUGCAUAUUCACAACUCUGAAGCAAUAGAACUACAAUCAGCUCACAACCCCCAUCGAGUAGUACACCUAUCUGUUCCAUUCAGAGGUACUCAUCUUGUUGAUUCAGGUGAGAUCUAUUACCUAUACCUUAGAUCCUCUAAACUGAAGGAGCUCCGAUGGGAAGGGUAUUUUAAAAUCUGGUGUUGUCUACAUGUUUUGGCUGCUUGUAUCUUCCUAGGCGAUGUCUUACUAGCUGACGAGCAAAUCAUAUGAAAAUAUGAACCACAUAUGAUCUUUGCUAAUAGAAGUACAACACUCAACCUGUGCUAUGUCAAUUCUAUGGCCACUACAUAUUCAGACGGGCAAAUGAACCAAAUAAAUCUUUCAGUGGGCCAGUGAUAAUAUUAUUUGUUGAACUGAUUAGAGAAGUAAACUAUAUACAACAGUAAACAGAAGUUGAAUUGUUUAGAGAGGUAAACUAUAGAACGGUAAUCUGAAGUACACUUGGAUCCCAAAGAUGCUGGUGGAAAUACGUCAACAAGUUACCCGCUACAAUCAUCACCAGAGAUAUAACCACAAAAACUGUAGUUCAAAGCUAUCCGCUACAUUAACCUUGAAUUUCCUAUCCAUUCUCAUCACCGAUGACCUGCCAUAAACCGUACAAAUAACAAUGAGUAUUGUGUUUACCUGCACACAAAAGAAGGGAAUUGUUCCUGAACCUGGUUUCUGAGGCCAGGCACGAGUAUUGUUUAAUUUCAGAAUUUGAGAAGAGGUGUAAACCAUUAAGAGGGACGUACCAUGACGCCAAAAGUUUCAGUCUGCCACCAAGUUUAUUUUGUUCAUCCCACAAAAAACAUGAACUCUCAAUCAAUGGCUGCAUAGCGUCAGAACACAAGAGGAUUUUGAGCCAAUCAAAAUAUAUUCAUUUAAAAAAAUCACUGCUGGACCGACUGUUAUUCUUCAGUUGCAUUCCCUCUACUUAUCUCUGACGAAUCUACUAUUCUUCAGUUGCAUCCCCCUGUACUGAUAUUAGCUAAUAUAAGUGACAAUGCUCUGACUCUUGGAAUUUGUAAUGCUCAUCCAAUCCUCCCCGUCUAUACCUAUUUAAUAGCUUCAAGAGCUCUCCCCAAAUCAUCAUUCAAAAGUUCUUCAUCUACUUGUGCUAUGUUACGUAGAUAUUUUUCUAGCUUUCAAAGGAAGCAUGUCCAGGUGUUCCUAACAUGCUCGAGGUUUGUAGGGAAUUUAGAAUAUGUAUAUCGAUCGGGCACCUUCGUUGUGUGAAAUUCCUUACUUAUUAUGUCACUUAUAUCAGCUAACUAUCAAGACCAAUGAACUGCAUCACGUCUAUGUAAUCACUUUUUAGUUUAUGUCAAGAUUAAUAGACUGCAUAUGCACCCCCACACCCUUGGUUAGAUCUACAAUCAAAUGUAAUGGUGAGAUUUAAUUUAAAAACAGUUAAUUUGUUUGCAUGGCUAUGCAAAAUUAGACAAUGAUUACAUUCUUUAAAUAAACAGUUAAGGGCAUGCCAGACUUUGCAAUCUUCAGAAGAGAUUGUUAGCCUAAAAUCUGCAAGACAAUAUAUCUGCGUACUUCGAGGACUGGUAGUUUGUUGCAAUUACCAGAUACUGCAAGCUGUGGUUCUAAUUCAUUCUUUCGCAUUACCGUUUUGGAAUUCAAUCUGUGGUUGACUGUUACUUGAUGGUUCUCUUGUUUCGAUCUCCUAGGACUGGAAUGUAGAAGCUUUUUGUUUGUUUUCUCACCAUAUCGUUGUAACAACUCUCAGCGUCUUAUGAAAAUUCUGAAGUAGUUUGGAGAAAAGAUGUGUGAGAAGUAGGUGUAUAGAUAUGUUCCUUCCAUGUAUUGGAUCGAGGAAUUUCUUAUAUUUCUUCUUUUAUUAAUUUCAGGAGAGGAAGAGAAUUUUAGUGGUACUUCAGAUUUUGGUAAUUGUUCAUGAUUGAGUUCACCAUAAUUGAUAAAAAAAAUUAUGACUGUUAUCAUUUUCAUGGUUUAUUUUAGUUGCUGGAAGGAAAGCACUGCUAGAAAUUUCGGAAUUGAGAUGUGGUUUUGAACAGUUCUGUCAGGUAUUGCUUAUUUGCAUUGUGCAAUCACAAUUCUGGGGACAAUCGUUUUUAGUUUUGUAGUAUUUCGGAUCUGGAUCCUAUCUUUCUAGCAGAUCACCACAUUUGGCGGGAUUUGGCUUAUUAAACAACAAGCAAACAAUAAAUUUUGUGAAUAUAAUGUGACGUUUCCAGUUAUAACUUUUAGACUUUUGAUUCCUUCCUUUAGUUGUCAGCGGAAAAUACUGAAGGCAUGUAGUUGUAUACAUGUUUGAAAAAUCAGAAGCGGUUAGUAACAUUUUGCAUCCUGAUACUACAAUCGACAUUACUAAGCUUGAUGCACUCAUGAAUCUUUAAUAACAGGAUUAACAGUGAUCUUGCUGCUUGAGUUACUUUGCAGGUAACGCUGUUAUGCCAAUGACAUAGUUUAUUCAGCUCUCAGGACAACUACUUCUAUUUCAUAUUCAUACUAAAACUUCUAUGAAGCUACCAAAAUUCCUUGUUGUGAAUUUGUUCUGAAGCUACUAAAAUAUCCCCUUAUACUAAAAUUGGAUUUCUACUGAAACUUUGUCAGGAUACUCAGUCCUGUUGUACUAAAAUUUACCUGCUUGCUUAUGCAUUAAAAUCUACCUUGUUUCUGAAAUUUAAUAAGGAGGAGCUCAAGGGAGAAAAUGAUUCAAGGAGAAGAGAGCCAGAGAAGGAGAAUUAAGAUGUGCCUUAUACUUAUAAUUUCUGAGCACUACUUGAAUCGCGAUAUCAUGUUAGAAGUGUGGGUAUGGGAGGUUUGGUGGAUUGUGAGCCGGAGAUGGUGGAGGAUUGUUAACAGCACUGAUUUAACGGUAAAAAAAUAUUGGUAGUGUUCUUUAUGAAACAUUUGGUCGAUUGUGUGCAGCUACGGGGACACAUAUUUUUGUAGUUCUACAUCAAUCAUAUUUAACUGAGAUCUGGAUGUUCAGCCAAGGUAUGUGAUGUGUAGUAUACUAUGCAAAUCUUUGUUAAAUAUCAUAUACCCACUCCGUAUACUACAUAUCAUAUACCCAGUCCCAUGAAUCAUGUGGUUCUGACAUAAAAAUGUCCUUCGAUGAAUUUUUUUCAUGGUUCAGGGGACCAACAACAUUCGAAGAGCAUUUCAGCUGUAUGGAGGAGCUUGCAAGUAUGUUUCACUUGCUUGGGCUGGAACUUUGGUUCAUGGAGAAAAGUUGCAUGAUUAGCCAAGGUAUGUCUGAACCAAUCCUAACUAAUCUCCCCUCUACUAUGAGGAUACUAACACGAGCAUGUAGGAAUGGGAUUGUAUAUUUUUUUGCUGAAUUAUUCGCAUAGCUAUGUAAAUAUGUUCCCUCAACCUACAAGGAGCAUGAUCUUUUUGGCGCAUAACGACAAUGACAUUCUCCGCCCAGGGGAUAUUGAAUCGGUACCUUUUUUAUUGAAGCAUUAGGUCAAUUUCAAACCAUGAAGAUUAGUAAAGAGCAACUAUUCCCUGAGUCCCCUUUUGGGGCCUUGCCUUCUUUUUAUAUAUCCAUUUCUUUAGUUGACACAUCCUUCUGUCAUCUGAGCUUGUCACAUUUGGAUAUUUUUCUCAAUUGAUGAUAUGGGUACAAUUUAUGUAGAAAACUAAGGCACUCAACAUAGUGUUUGUGGCGUAAGAGGUUGGGAUUGCCACAUAAUAUUUUAGCAUGUUCAUCUAACAGACCCUCCUUUCAUUCCUUUAUAGCGCCGUGCGGUUCAUUCUCCUUUGGUGAUGGAACUCAUGGUCCUAUAUGUGCAUUUGGCAACCACUGGAAGAACAUGCGACGACUGGGCUCUCAAGUUCAGUUAUCAUAAUUAACUUCGAUGCUUUUGGGUGUUGUCUCUAGCUGGUGUAAAAUUGGCAAUGACCUAUGUUGGAGAUCUCACGUUUGCCCUGUAGAUUUUAGACUUUGAUAACUACAUCUUGUGGUGUCUUCUCACAUAAGAUACGUCCAUGUUGUUUGGUUCAAAAAUGGAACUGGGUAUGUAAUGCAGUGGAUAGAUCUUUUUUUCAGAGAGAAAUAUAUCUAUAUUUCUAUUGUUCAA